GGCUCCUCCUUCUAAUCCACCAACUUAGUGUUGAUGAAGACUAAACAGAGAGAUCACAGCUUCUUUAUACUUGCUGUAGCUCACAGUUACUCUACACUGCAGAUAUGACGCCUCUGUUCAUCUCAGUGCUGCUGGCUGCUAUGUGCCUCGAAUGCAGAGCACAAAAAGACAACGUGCUGCAAGCAAAAGGAGAAGAGACUGCUGCUGCAGGAGGCACAGUAACACUUGACUGUCUCUAUAACACCAGCAGUUUAACAGGUACUUCUCUCUUCUGGUACAAACAGGAUGGAAACAACAGCCCCGAAUUCAUCCUGAUGCGCUAUAGUGGGGAUGAUGGAAACACAGCAGACGAGUUCAAGGAGAGAUUUUCCUCCACACUGGAUUCCAGCAUCAGAUCAGUUCCUCUGAAGAUCCAGAAGCUUCAGCUGUCAGACUCUGCUGUGUACUACUGUGCUCUGCAGCCCACAGUG